UGGGGGAUAUUGCACAAUGGGCGAAAGCCUGAUGCAGCGACGCCGCGUGGGGGAUGAAGGCUUUCGGGUUGUAAACCUCUUUCGCUAUCGAACAAGGCCCGCUUAGGGUGGGUUGAGGGUAGGUGGAGAAGAAGCGCCGGCUAACUACGUGCCAGCAGCCGCGGUAAUACGUAGGGCGCGAGCGUUGUCCGGAAUUAUUGGGCGUAAAGGGCUUGUAGGCGGCUUGUUGCGCCUGCUGUGAAAACGCGGGGCUUAACUUCGCGCGUGCAGUGGGUACGGGCAGGCUUGAGUGUGGUAGGGGUGACUGGAAUUCCAGGUGUAGCGGUGGAACGCGCAGAUAUCUGGUGGAACACCGAUGGCGAAGGCAGGUCACUGGGCCAUUACUGACGCUGAGGAGCGAAAGCAUGGGUAGCGAACAGG
rnacentral:rRNA from 1 species